rnacentral:tRNA from 1 species
GGAGGGAUGGUAGAGCGGUUUAUUGCACCGGUCUUGAAAACCGGAGAACUCAAAAGGUUCCGCGGGUUCGAAUCCCGCUCCCUCCGCCA